GACAAUGCGUUGUCACUUGUUUUCCAAAAUCAGUUUAACUCCAUUAAUGGAUAUGUUAUCUUAUUUGAGAAAGUAUGACUAUUUAUAAUAUUUAGAACUUGCUUUCCAAAAUCAGCUUUACUCUAUUCCGAUAUCUCCAUAUCUCAACUUGCAUGUUUGAUUGUUUUGGAGAUUUUUCGUCUUAAUGAGUGAUUCACCUUUGUUUAGAACCCUCCCAAGCUGGCUACUCCUCUAUUUGAUACUAAAAUGCCAGAGGACCCUAAGAUGGCAUACACAGACCUAGAUAAUCUUCAAAUGGUGUUUUGAACGAAGAGUGUUUGGUCUUGCAUUGUGAUGGCGUCUGAGUGUUGGCUUGGUCUCUGUUGGCUUGCUACAUAUCUAGAAAGCUCCAUGAUUUGUGCUAAGCUCAAAAUAUCAGUAGAUUUGUUGUGGUAGUGCCUUAACAGGAUUUGAGGCUUCUCCAUUCAGGAAAAGACAAGUCUGGUAGAUACAAAAAUUACAAGAUCACAAGUUUGGAUUGAAGGUCACAAGAAAAAAAAAAUGGGAAGCCUAGUACUCAAGCUGUUGGAGAGAAAAUAGUGGACCUAAUUCGACCAAAUGAUGAAAUGCAGUUUCUCGAUGAUGCAAUAGAAAGCACGGUUGCAUGGUUAUCUAUAUUUAUAGUAUUGUGUGAUUGAUAUAUAUUAUACUAAUUUGUUUGGAUUGUAAGUUGAAUUAUCGUUAUGUAAUUACUAGUUUGUUAGAUAUUUCAUAUAUUGUUUUAGAUGUUUUGAGUUUUUGUGGUAUAAUGAAAAACUAUGACUUUUA